AGCCAGAUUUUAGGAACUGGCCAGCUCAGGAGAACUGUCAUGUAAUUUGCUCCUUCGUCGUCGGCUUUCUGAAACUACUUGGUGUGUACUGGGUGUCAGUAGAUCGCCGGAGCUGCUUGGAAACUUCCAGCCCCUUGCUUGCGAUGGACUGGGAGCACCGUGACCUUUGCUGCCCUGCGUGCACGCCCAGGUGUUCUUCUGUCCUCUGUGCCAUGGGUGGCCUAUCCAGCACGGUCCCGGAACACGAGGUGCUAAAUGAUUCGCGUUAAACAGUGACAGCCUCAGCCCUCCCUGACCUUGACUUCUCUGGGUGCGGGAUUGGAGAUGACGUCACGGCCAGCCAGCGCCCGCGUGGCGUGGUUCAAAUGUGGCUUCAAUUUAACACAAAUGCCCGGAACCUUAUGUUGUCUCUACCGACUGCGGGCAGAGCCCCCAAUUCUGCUGUAGAGGUCCUCACAGUCCCCAGUUCCCAGCUGCACUGCAGGGGAUACCAGAGCCCUGCAGGGGGUCGGGGCACACCGCGGGCAGUUCCCCUGGAACCAGAACUAAGGAGAAGACAUUUGCAUAUCUCCUCCAGGAGUAUCAAAGUCUGGAAGAUUUUCCGCUCCAAAGAGCUGCCCUAAAAUGAACCUAGAAAGCCAUUUCCCAGGGACUAACUAACUGGAGGCUGCGUUCCUCUCUCUGCAGGAGCCAGAGAAACAGACGAAAGGACUCCAUCCAGAGCGCCUUACUUGUAACACACUUUUUUGAGAUUAGAGAAAUUAGAAAUUAAUAGGGUUGAAGUCAUAUAAAAUCGAUAUUGUCAAUGCGGGGUGGG
rnacentral:lncRNA from 1 species